UUUUAACUUCCGCGCUCGAGCGAACCAUUAACGGCCACUCGUCAUUUUUUUUCCCAUGGUAACCUCACUGUGCGUCUGCACGGCAGCUUGCGGUGUUACCGAAACACAUAAGCGUCAUCCUCUUCAUUUCAAGCGCCAAGACGCUUCAGGGUGAUGCAUGAAGUUGAGAGAGGUCAAAUAGGGAAGGGUCCUUCAACCUCCUCUGCUGUCUCCGCCCUGCUACCACUUCACAAAGUAGCAGGAAAUUACAGGGGAUCACAUAAAUUACAGCCAGCCCACCAGCAAGAGGCAGGCAGCACGCCACCCAUCACUGGGGCAAAGGAGGGGUUGACCCCCAUCUGGCCUGAGGGGGGCUGCAGGAAGAUUGGGCAGGACAUUGCUGCUUGUUAUGCUGCCUUCAUGUGGACCUGGGAUGCUCAUACCUCCGAGUCGGGCAUUCGUUACUAUGACAUGUCACGCAUUCAAGUGGGAAACAAAAUAAGGAAGAAGCUGAACUCAACAAAUACACAGUGAAUGA